rnacentral:tRNA from 1 species
AGUACUGUUGCUCAGUGGUCAGGGCACUGGCCACAUAUGCCAGAGCUGGCAGGUUCGAACCUGGCCAGGUCUG